UGACCUCGGAUCAGGUAGGGAUACCCGCUGAACUUAAGCAUAUCAAUAAGCGGAGGAAAAGAAACCAACAGGGAUUGCCCUAGUAACGGCGAGUGAAGCGGCAACAGCUCAAAUUUGAAAGCUAGCCUUCGGGUUCGCAUUGUAAUUUGUAGAGGAUGAUUUGGGGAAGCCGCCUGUCUAAGUUCCUUGGAACAGGACGUCAUAGAGGGUGAGAAUCCCGUAUGUGACAGGAAAUGGCACCCUAUGUAAAUCUCCUUCGACGAGUCGAGUUGUUUGGGAAUGCAGCUCUAAAUGGGAGGUAAAUUUCUUCUAAAGCUAAAUAUUGGCGAGAGACCGAUAGCGCACAAGUAGAGUGAUCGAAAGAUGAAAAGCACUUUGGAAAGAGAGUUAAAAAGCACGUGAAAUUGUUGAAAGGGAAGCGCUUGCAAUCAGACUUGUUUAAACUGUUCGGCCGGUCUUCUGACCGGUUUACUCAGUUUGGACAGGCCAGCAUCAGUUUCGGCGGCCGGAUAAAGGCUCUGGGAAUGUGGCCUCCACUUCGGUGGAGGUGUUAUAGCCCAGGGUGUAAUACGGCCAGCCGGGG
rnacentral:rRNA from 1 species